rnacentral:rRNA from 1 species
AGAGUUUGAUCCUGGCUCAGGAUGAACGCUGGCGGCGUAGCCUAACACAUGCAAGUCGAGCGAUCUUCUUCGGAAGAGAGCGGCGGACGGGUGAGUAACGCGUGGGUAACCUGCCUCAUACACAUGGAUAACAUACCGAAAGGUAUGCUAAUACAAGAUGAUAUAAGAGAUUCGCAUGGAUUUCUUAUCAAAGCUCCGGCGGUAUGAGAUGGACCCGCGUCUGAUUAGCUAGUUGGUAAGGUAAUGGCUUACCAAGGCGACGAUCAGUAGCCGACCUGAGAGGGUGAUCGGCCACAUUGGAACUGAGACACGGUCCAAACUCCUACGGGAGGCAGCAGUGGGGAAUAUUGCACAAUGGGCGAAAGCCUGAUGCAGCAACGCCGCGUGAGCGAUGAAGGCCUUCGGGUCGUAAAGCUCUGUCCUCAAGGAAGAUAAUGACGGUACUUGAGGAGGAAGCCCCGGCUAACUACGUG